rnacentral:rRNA from 1 species
UACGGGGGGGGCAAGCGUUGUUCGGAAUUACUGGGCGUAAAGGGCUCGUAGGCGGCCAACUAAGUCGGAUGUGAAAUCCCCAGGCUCAACUUGGGAACUGCAUCCGAUACUGGAUGGCUUGAGUUCGGGAGAGGGAUGCGGAAUUCCAGGUGUAGCGGUGAAAUGCGUAGAUAUCUGGAGGAAUACCGGUGGCGAAGGCGGCAUCCUGGACCGACAUUGACGCUGAGGAGCGAAAGCUAGGGGAGCAAACGGG